CGGGACCCCUUCGAGUCCUGACGUGAACGAACCAGAGGUUUUAUUUUACAAAAUGAGACAUUUGGGAAACUGACGCCUGAGCGCUUCGUGGGUUUAAGGAAUGACACCUUUUUUAGGUGUGCUAAUGGUCCCGGGAGGUGGCCCUGGGCCAACGGAGUGGAGGCUGGGAGAGAGGAAGCCCCAUACUCCUUGGACGUGGAAGGCUUUGCAUUUUCUUAUAUUUAUUUUUGAGAGAGAGACAGAGCGUGAGCAGGGGAGGAACAGAGAGAGAGGGAGACACAGAACCCAAAGCAGGCUCCAGGCUCCCAGCUGUCAGCACAGAGCCCGACGCGGGGCUCGAACCCACAGACCGUGAGACCAUGACCUGAGCUGAAGUUGGAUGCUUAACAGACUGAGCCACCCAGCCCAGAGCCUGAUGCAGAGCUUGAUCUCACCAACCCUGGGAUCGUGACCUGAGCCAAAAUCAAGAGUCAGAUGCUCAACCGACUGAGCCACCCAGGUGCCCUUGACAUUUUCCAUAAUACAAUUUUUAAAAGGAAAAAAGUG